GGAUGCGAUCAUACCAGCACUAAAGCACCGGAUCCCAUCAGAACUCCGAAGUUACGCGUGCUUGGGCGAGAGUAGUACUAGGAUGGGUGACCUCCUGGGAAGUCCUCGUGUUGCAUUCC
rnacentral:rRNA from 3 species